UUGAACGCUGGCGGCAGGCCUAACACAUGCAAGUCGAGCGGUAGAGAGAAGCUUGCUUCUCUUGAGAGCGGCGGACGGGUGAGUAAUGCCUAGGAAUCUGCCUGGUAGUGGGGGAUAACGUUCGGAAACGGACGCUAAUACCGCAUACGUCCUACGGGAGAAAGCAGGGGACCUUCGGGCCUUGCGCUAUCAGAUGAGCCUAGGUCGGAUUAGCUAGUUGGUGGGGUAAUGGCUCACCAAGGCGACGAUCCGUAACUGGUCUGAGAGGAUGAUCAGUCACACUGGAACUGAGACACGGUCCAGACUCCUACGGGAGGCAGCAGUGGGGAAUAUUGGACAAUGGGCGAAAGCCUGAUCCAGCCAUGCCGCGUGUGUGAAGAAGGUCUUCGGAUUGUAAAGCACUUUAAGUUGGGAGGAAGGGCAGUAAAUUAAUACUUUGCUGUUUUGACGUUACCGACAGAAUAAGCACCGGCUAACUCUGUG
rnacentral:rRNA from 1 species